rnacentral:rRNA from 1 species
UACGGGGGGGGGCAAGCGUUGUUCGGAGUUACUGGGCGUAAAGGGCGCGUAGGCGGUUCGCUAAGUCGGAUGUGAAAACUCUGGGCUCAACCCAGAGCCUGCAUCCGAAACUGGCGGGCUAGAGUUCUGGAGGGGGUAGCGGAAUUCCUGGUGUAGCGGUGAAAUGCGUAGAUAUCUGGAGGAACACCGGUGGCGAAGGCGGCAUCCUGGACCGACACUGACGCUGAGGAGCGAAAGCCAGGGGAGCAAACGGG